rnacentral:misc_RNA from 1 species
GAUGAAGAACGUAGCGAAAUGCGAUAAGUAAUGUGAAUUGCAGAAUUCAGUGAAUCAUCGAAUCUUUGAACGCACCUUGCACCCUUUGGCAUUCCGAAGGGUAUGCUCGUUUGAGUGUCAUUGUACUCUCACACUCUCCGAUCCUAUGGAUUCGGGGAGCGGUGGACUUGGGUGUUGCUGCCUUUCCCUGUGGCUCACCUCAAAUGCGUCAGUGCACCUCUUGGUUGGACAUAGUACGGCGUGAUAAGUGUCUUCGCCGGCACCUCGCAAGAGGGUGGCCGAUCGGGAGCUCUGCGCUUUCAAACCGUCUUCGGACAAUUUCUGACAUCUUGACCUCAAAUCGAGUAGGACUACCCGCUGAACUUAAGCAUAUCAUAAGCGGAGGA